rnacentral:rRNA from 1 species
CACCAGCGCCACGAGUGGGGACCGCUAUUAUUGGGCCUAAAGCAUCCGUAGCCGGGUUAGUAAAUUUCUUGUGAAAUCGUGUAGCUCAACUUCACGGCGCGCAGGGAACACUGCUGAUCUUGAGACCGGGAGGAGUUAGAGGUAUGGAUUGGGUAGCGGUAAAAUGCUAUAAUCCUUUUCAGACCACCUGUGGCGAAGGCGUCUAACUAGAACGGGUCUGACGGUGAGGGAUGAAAGCUGGGGGAGCGAUCCGG